GGAUUGAGAGAGAGCUCCUCGCAUCACAGCAGCUAUGGCGGUCGACAACGCGGCUUCGAGAAUCGGAAGCGCGGCGGCAACAAUGCGGCAGCGGCGGCCGUGAGGUAGGCUGGCAGCAAGAUUUCGCGCAUGCGCGGGAUGGAAACGGCCGGGAUGUAGCAGUGAUUUGGCGGCUCAAGAGCUGUUCUUGGACGGGAUGAGCUGACGCAUGGGGACGAUGUGAAUGCAGGAAGCUGGGAGUCUCAAGAAACGCCGAGUAGAAGACGAGCAAAUGAAAGUCACUCCACCAAGUACAUGCCCUGUUUGCGUCUGGAAUCGUUGCAGGGAGUCUCUGUGAUUGGAUCGUCCAUGACUAUCAGAGUUCCUAGUCUUCGAUUACUUCGUCCUCUCGCCCUUCUAUGAUCGCUCUUGCUCCAAUGAGCAGCUGCGAAUGCGCUCUGUCCAUCCCCUCGACAUGACCCAGCUCUUGAAGAUGACUGGAGUGGAGUACGUGCUGCUCGAAGCCCAGGAGCCCAAUCUCUUUGUCCUCCGCAAGCAAAAGUGCGAGAGUGGCCUACUAUAUCCUCGACAGCCAUAUCUAUCAACCACGCUGCUCUACAGCGUUGUUUGCAGCAGAGUGGCCCGAGCUGUGCAUCACGUCUCCACUGCCUUCUCCCAAAGGAUGACGAUGAGAAUGAACACGAGAGCGAUCCCACUGGCCGUGUCGAUCUCAAGGAAGUCCUCCGGAUCGAUCAGAUACUGGGAAAUGUUCUUUGCAAGCUUAAAAUGGCUUUGGAGUAUCUUCAACCAGCUUUUGGAGGUGUCAUAGUGGAUGUGAGCUGCAGGUCCACUAGAUGAUUGACCGAGAGAUGGCCAUUGGACGUUAGAACACGAACUUCCUGUUGGAAGACACAAGUACAUGUGAUUGAUAACGAGCUAUGCAUUCACAAUCCUCACGUUCCUAUAACGAACCCAGACAGAAAAUGCAACUACAAGAAUUAUAUUGAGGGGACGAGUGUGGCAUUUACCUUGGAAGGAGUUUUGACAAUACCCUGACAAGUACUGUUAGACUCCUUCCAGGUAAGAAUAAAGAGGAGGUUGUCAAGCAGCUGCGCUAUUAUUCAAGGCUCCUGGUCACGGCACUUCCAGUUUAUGUAAUCCAAGAGUAUGCACGACUUAGCAUGACUUCUCUCCCUGGAAGUUCCUUCUCUUACGCUGGCUCACUUGCUCUGGCCGCGAUGGGAUUUGGAACUCUAGUUUUGUUUGUUUAUCAAAACUAUGGUUUUUCCUCAGCUUGAUGACCACACCGGGCCGCCGUGUCACUGGGAUGGAGCUAAGCGAGCAGGCGGGCAGGAUCCACUUACAUUGUCCAAAGGAGGUGAAGCCAUUCAAGAGGCUUCACUCUCGUCAAGUGUCAACUCAAUGGUAAGCUUCGAGAUAUUUUUCCAUUCAUUCGUUUGCGCGAGAACGUUUCAUCAAUGUGGAUGCUCGUGCUGCCACCGCCCACCCAGCACCACACUGGCCCGCCGCUCUGCCGCCACCGCCACCGCCACCGCCGCCCCGCUGCCCUGCCACCGCGCCCGAAACUAACUCGAAAAUUCUGCAACUGCAA